rnacentral:rRNA from 1 species
UUCCGGUUGAUCCUGCCGGAAGCUACUGCUAUCGGGAUUCGAUUAAGCCAUGCGAGUCGAGAGGGUUCGGCCCUCGGCUGACGGCUCAGUAACACGUGGAUAACCUGCCCUCAGGUAGGGGAUAAUCUCGGGAAACUGAGGAUAAUACCCUAUAGACAUCCUUUGCUGGAAUGCUUGGAUGUUCAAAGGCGACGCCUGAGGAUGGGUCUGCGGCCUAUCAGGUAGUAGUGGGUGUAACGGACCCACUAGCCCACGACGGGUACGGGCCUUGAAAGAGGUAGCCCGGAGAUGGACUCUGAGACACGAGUCCAGGCCCUACGGGGUGCAGCAGGCGCGAAAACUUCGCAAUGCGGGAAACCGUGACGAGGGAAUCCCGAGUGCUCAUACAAUGUAUGGGCUUUUCUGAUGUGUAAAAAGUAUUAGGAAUAAGGGCUGGGUAAGACCGGUGCCAGCCGCCGCGGUAAUACCGGCAGCUCUAGUGGUAGCCACUUUUAUUGGGCCUAAAGCGUCCGUAGCCGGUCAGGUAAAUCCUUGGGUAAAUCGUACAGCUUAACUGUGCGGCUUCCGGGGAGACUGUUUGACUUGGGACCGGGAGAGGUUGGAGGUACUCCUGGGGUAGGGGUGAAAUCCUGUAAUCCUAGGUGGACCACCGGUGGCGAAGGCGUC